ACUGAUUCGCAAACUGUCUACAGUUAACGAAAUGAAACCAAAAUUUUUACAGUACAUAAUUUAGUUUAUAUAUGUAUUAUAACUUUUUGGUAUCGGUUCAAAUUUAGGAUGCGGUUAAAGGACAAACGUCUUGAAAUCCCGCUUCAAAAGUGCAUCAGAACUUCAGAUGCACAAUUCUCAAGAAGCAAGCUUCAAACAACAGUGCAUUUUGUUAUUCUGUUCUUGCUUACUUGUAAUAAGCAUCAAAUAAGGCCGCACGGGACUACGUGUAAUUUUUCCUAUCUUCCCUCUCUUUCUAACAAUUUGCCUCACGAUUUUGAAGAUGCAAAUAUCAAAUUCCACUGCACUGACGUAGCUGAAACUUUAGUCGAUUGUGCACCGCAAGUGAGCAAAUGAACGAUCAAAUUUUUAGCCAAUAAUAUGAAGUAGAAGUUGAGAUUUGCAUCUUACUAACAACCGAACAAUGGCGGACAAUUCAACCACCGUCCCGUCCGGCCAUAAGAAGAUCAGGUGCGCUGGUUUUGUUUACGAAGAGAUUAGUGCGCUCGAAAUCGUGAGUAGGUGCCAAAGCCGGCCAUUGUGGCGGCCAUUAUGGGAUUCUAACAAGUCCGUCCUUCUAGUUACUUUCUAAUCACCGCAUGACUUUAUGAUAAUUGAAUUUUAUUGGCUUUUCUCGGUGAACUUAAUACUACUCAAAGAAGGAUGGAGAUGGUAAAGUGGCUCCGUAGCUUGAAGGAAAGAAGCGAAUAGGGAGUCGUGGGUUCCAAUUCCACAGAAGCACGUAGAGCGAUGUAUACCGUCAUGAUCAACGACUGAGAAGGAAGUGUACCCUUUUAACCAUCUGUCCGGAAACCAAGAGUAUCUCUAGGUUAUUUAUUGUCCGCCAAGCUGUUUAAACAUGAGAGGCUGUGUUGGACUAGUCACUGGCACGGUUGUUAGAUAUAGGCAUUUUCAGUUGACAGGUCCGUGUAUGCCACUGUUUACAACUGGAAAACGAGCAAACGCUCAACUGUCAUUUUCAUAGCAGAACUGUCAAAGGCCCCUAAAAUCAGCUGAUUUUAAACGUCUUCUGAUUAGGCCUAUUCAAUGGAUAAUCAUGAAAUUGAAGACGGCUUGAAGUGGCACAUCAAGUUCAUGAGAUACAACAUAUGGGUAAUUCUCGCUGUGACCGGCCCACUAUUUACACCUUGUCUUCAAAAAUGUUGAAGGUGCCGAUUUCCUGAAAGCCCUCGCCUAAAAAGUAAGAAAAAUGCAUUUGGUUACUUAAAUUGAUGGACCCCCCGUUAGUUAGAGCCACAACAAUUUUUGCAGACCCCUCGAUUUUGGUCAAAUGGUGGCUCACUUAAACCGUUAUUACUCGAAAGUUUCUCCAACAACCACCUCAAAACGAAUUGUUGUUGAAAAGAUAAUAAAAAGUUGGGUCGGCCAUAUUGAUUUUGGCCGCCAUCUUGGAUUUUUAUACCAAAACAUUUUUUUCACCAUGAGGGCAACCAACGAUUUUAAAAUUUUUUACAUUAGUUGAAAGCUGGGACAUUUAUACAAAACAUAUCAUAAAAUUAGAGAUCUCUUUUUCUUGUUUCAAAAGUUAUCAAAAGUUAUCUGCCGUUUCGUAAAUUAUGCCACUUUUGCGCACUGGGCCCGGUGCCGACCGUAUACAUAAAUUCAGCGUUAUUUCGCAGUGUUUACAAACACGAAUUAAAAUUCUGAACCCACUAAUGGAAAGCUGAAGGUUUAAGCUUUUCAAAACACUAAAAAAGUUAUAAAAACAAUGCCCGCAUCAUUAAGAAACAGGCAAAAACGGAAACGAACCUCCGAUUUGGCCAAAUUUUGCGGCACGCACCUUUGUGUAUACAUGCAGGCGUAAACUCGGAUGCUGUUGCAUGUCUUUGCCGGUGCGCAUGGAAAUGUAUGGAGAAAACGUGACUUAAUUUACAAAACUGCAGAUAACUUUUGAAAGAAGAAAAAGACAUCUAAUUUUUUGAUAUGUUAUGUAUAAAUGUCCCAGCUUUCAAUUGAUGCAAAAAUUUUGAAAAUCGGUGGUUGCCCUCAUGGUGAAAAAAAUGUUUUGGUAUAAAAAUCCAAGAUGGCGGCCAAAACCAAUAUGGCCGACCCAACUUUUUAUUAUUGUAAAUAGUAGCUCUAACUUUCCUCUUUUCUACAACAAUUCGUUUUGAGGUGGUUGUUGGAGAAACUUUCGAGUUAUAACGGUUUAAGUGAGCCACCAUUUGACCAAAAUCGAGGGGUCUGCAAAAAUUGUUGUGGCUCUAACUAACGGGGGGUCCAUCAAUUUGAGUAACCAAAUGCAUUUUUCUUACUUUUUAGGCGAGGGCUUUCAGGAAAUCGGUACCUUCAACAUUUUUGAAGACAAGGUGUAAAUAGUGGGCCGGUCUCAGCGAGAAUUACCCAUUAGCGUGGGACACAAAAAGACAUUUUACUCCUGUACACUUUUUGAGUUCCAUUUUGGUCCCAUAUCAACUGUGCAAAAUUUCAGAUCAAUCGGAGAAACUAUAUUUUAGCGCCAGCCAUUUUAAGUUUUCAUACGAUUUAGUAUGGGGAAAAUCAAUUUUUCAAAGAAAAAUCGCCACAGGUUGCCCCUUAACCCCUAAAAAUAAGUCGAUGAAUGAUUUCUGUUGGAAAUUUUACAAGGAACCAACCCUCCGAAAACCGCAAAGCGAUCUGAGGCAUGUGAAAAAAGUUAUUGACUGAUAACCGAAUGGCAUGCAAACGCUGUUCAACAUGUAAGGAAUAACAAUAAAUAAUAAAAUCUCGUUUUUUUAUCGAUCAGGUGAGGCCUAAUAAUUUUUUCCACGAACGUCGCAUCGAUUUGCUGUCUUCGGAGGUCUGAUUCCUAGUAAAGUAUUCUACAGAAAUCAUUCGUCGACUUAUUUUUAGGGAUCAAGGGGUGUCUCCUAGCGAUUUUUCUUUGCAGGAGUAAAAUUUCCCCAUAGUAAAUCGUAUGAAAAACUAAGAAUGGCGGGCGCUAAAAUAUAGUUUUUCCAAUCGAUCUGAAAUUUUGCACAGUUGAUAUGGGACCAAAGUGGAACUCAAAAAGUAUACAGAAACUUGAGUUUUUCCAUUUUUUGUAUUUUCUCAUAUAAACCGUGUAGUAGGCUAUUACCCAUAUAUAGAUGUAACGAAUACCGAAGGGCGAGAAAUAUGGGCAUAUCCUUAUCACCCAGAUUCUGAUUUUCUUCAUAGUUCUUUACCUGUUGGUAGCGAUUGCCAUCGUUUCAAAACAAACCAUUUGUAUGCACGCUAAAACCGCUCAGCUCUAAAAUGUGUAAGACCUACUCAUAAGUGCAUAAUUUCCAGACCAAAAUCAGCUCGUACACUCUUUUAGAUGCGAAAUGUCGAUAUUUUUUGUUUGCCAAGGUUACCUAGCUUAUUGCAAAUUUCACGAUUUUGCGGACGCAGGAGCUGAUUUUGUGAAUGUGCAACUGCUACACAUUUGUUGGGUGGUCUGGAAAUUGAGCACUUAUGCGUAGGUUUUAGCGUGUGGCUGCCUGUUACUAGAAAUCGUGGCCACCCCUGUGCCUCCACGGGUGUCACAGGAAUGAUGUGAUGUUUAUGAAAACGAUUACUGAUAGUUCUUUCUCAGUGAAAUGCCCCUGCUUCAAUUUUCUAAUGUUUGUUCACUUUAUUCUGUUUAUUUUGAUUCUUGUGUGUGUUUUCUUCAGUAUAGUUUCCAGCUGUCGGAGGCUGAUGGACUCUUUUGCCAUUUGUUCUGUGUUUUUUUUUUAAUCUGUUGCUUGGCUAAGCAGUUCAAUUUAUUUAGCGUCUAUUGCGAUGUGUGUUGCUGUUGUUGGUAGUACAUACAUUCAUAAACUAUUGUUAUUGUUUGCCUUUCAAAUCCGAUUCCUAAUCCGAGCGCGACCGAGACUCCUCCCGCAUUCGCCAUCCUCACGCCGCCUACACCAUUAUUGGCCAACGAUGCCAAAAAGAAACUCGAAAGGGGUGUUCCGAUCACAAAAGUUGCCUUUACAUUUUCGUUACUUUUUUUUGUUAUUUCGUUUUUAAUUCGUUUGCUCGCGACUCUACAACCAUUUUGUGUAUGUUUUUGUGUAGUUUUUGAUUCGGACAGUUGUUGUUUUCUAUUAUCUUGACAUCUUUCUGCUUAAAAUUGACAUAUCGACAACUAUAUUUUCUCUUAAACUGCGGGUCUUUGCUGGUAGGAUUUGCUCUUUUUUUUUGUUUCCUUUUGAUUUGAUCCCGAGACGGAGAGGUAUGUUUUGCAAUAGUUUUACUUUAAAAAGUGUAUAAUAGUUCGAUUCGCGCAAAUAUUCGUUCAUGACGAUCGUUAAAAACGGUGAGGUGGUGGUUUUUACCCUUUUCCUAGUGUGACUAGACUAAAAUGUUUCGUCACACCCAGUUCGGGGUGGCGUCAGUAAGUCUGUCUGUGGCAGUCUUUCUUUGUUGCAAAAAUUUCGUGGGAUCUCGUGUUGUAUAAUUUGCUCUAAGAAAAUGAUUCCUCUUCCUCGCCUCUAAUUCUCGUUUUUUUUUUUUGUUUUGCUGUGUACGCUACUUGAGGAAGAGGACGGGUGUAAAAUUGCUGCAGCAAUGUGGCGUUCGCAUUUAAAAUGGUCUCUCUAAAAAUAGAGAUCGAUCCAAAGGUGAUGGUGGUGGUCAACUCCGCGUCGGGAUUUCGGCUCAAAAUGUAAGUUUGUGAAUGUUGAGGCACUCCAUGUUUGAAUCAUUUCGAAUCAUUUUGAUUCUGACCAUGGUUAUGCCCCAGCAGUAUGUGAUUUUUUCGUGUAUGCCUCGUCUGGUAUCCUUUUCUACUAUUGAUAAACUUUUAAAAACUACAGUUAUGCUUUUCUUGUGUGAAUUUUUGCUUCGUUUUAUGACAUGUACUAUGAAAUUUUGGAUUAAAUAUGGACUUGCUUUUGAAUUCGUUACGGCUAGAAUUAUGAAAUUUUCUCGUUCUCUACCAUGCAAAAAUUGUGUGCAGCUGCUCCUUCUUCGACCUUAUCUUUCUCAAUCUUCUUCCUUUCUUUGAAAUAGAAUUUACAACAAAGAUAUAAAAGAAAAGAACUUACGCUUAUGUUUACAUU